GGUGGCUCAGUGGUAAAGCACUUGCCUUGCAUGCAUGAGACCCUGGGUUCGAUUCCUCAGCACCA
rnacentral:tRNA from 1 species